rnacentral:rRNA from 1 species
GACGGAGGAUGCAAGCGUUAUCCGGAAUGAUUGGGCGUAAAGCGUCCGCAGGUGGCAGUUCAAGUCUGCUGUCAAAGACCGGGGCUUAACUUCGGAAAGGCAGUGGAAACUACAUGGCUAGAGUGCGUUCGGGGCAGAGGGAAUUCCUGGUGUAGCGGUGAAAUGCGUAGAGAUCAGGAAGAACACCGGUGGCGAAAGCGCUCUGCUAGGCCGCAACUGACACUGAGGGACGAAAGCUAGGGGAGCGAAUGGG